UACGUAGGUGGCAAGCGUUGUCCGGAUUUACUGGGCGUAAAGGAUGCGUAGGCGGACAUUUAAGUCAGAUGUGAAAUACCCGAGCUUAACUUGGGUGCUGCAUUUGAAACUGGGUGUCUAGAGUGCAGGAGAGGUAAGUGGAAUUCCUAGUGUAGCGGUGAAAUGCGUAGAGAUCUGGAAGAACACCAAAGGCGAAGGCAGCAUCCUGGGAAGUUCCUGACGCUCGGGUGCGAAAGCCAGGGGAGCGAACGGG
rnacentral:rRNA from 1 species